rnacentral:rRNA from 1 species
AGUGAACGCUGGCGGUAGGCCUAACACAUGCAAGUCGAACGGCAGCACAGUAAGAGCUUGCUCUUACGGGUGGCGAGUGGCGGACGGGUGAGGAAUACAUCGGAAUCUACUUUUUCGUGGGGGAUAACGUAGGGAAACUUACGCUAAUACCGCAUACGACCUACGGGUGAAAGCAGGGGAUCUUCGGACCUUGCGCGAUUGAAUGAGCCGAUGUCGGAUUAGCUAGUUGGCGGGGUAAAGGCCCACCAAGGCGACGAUCCGUAGCUGGUCUGAGAGGAUGAUCAGCCACACUGGAACUGAGACACGGUCCAGACUCCUACGGGAGGCAGCAGUGGGGAAUAUUGGACAAUGGGCGUAAGCCUGAUCCAGCCAUACCGCGUGGGUGAAGAAGGCCUUCGGGUUGUAAAGCCCUUUUGUUGGGAAAGAAAAGCAGCAGGUUAAUACCCCGCUGUUCUGACGGUACCCAAAGAAUAAGCACCGGCUAACUUCGU